rnacentral:rRNA from 1 species
AGGACGAACGCUGGCGGCGUGCUUAACACAUGCAAGUGGAGCGACGAACCGGGGCUUGCCCCGGGGCAGAGCCGCGAACGGGUGAGUAACACGUGGGUAACCCACCUCGAUGAUUGGGACAACCCGGGGAAACUCGGGCUAAAUACCAAAUGUGCUCGUAGACCAUGAGGUCCAUGAGUAAAGAUAGCUUCGGCCUUCGCAUCGAGACGGGCCCGCGGCCCAUUAGCUUGUUGGUGAGGUAACGGCUCACCAAGGCGACGAUGGGUAGCUGGUCUGAGAGGACGAUCAGCCACACUGGGACUGAGACACGGCCCAGACUCCUACGGGAGGCAGCAGUGGGGAAUCUUGCGCAAUGCGCGAAAGCGUGACGCAGCAACGCCGCGUGGAGGAAGACGGUCUUCGGGUUGUAAACCUCUUUCAGUAGGGACGAAGCGCAAGUGACGGUACCUACAGAAGAAGCACCGGCCAACUACGUGCCAGCAGCCGC